rnacentral:rRNA from 1 species
CCUACGGGAGGCAGCAGUGGGGAAUUUUGCGCAAUGGGGGAAACCNUGACGCAGCAACGCCGCGUGGAGGAUGAAGUAUCUUGGUACGUAAACUCCUUUCGAUGGGGAAGAUAAUGACGGUACCCAUAGAAGAAGCCCCGGCUAACUUCGUGCCAGCAGCCGCGGUAAU